rnacentral:rRNA from 1 species
GAACGCUAGCGACAGGCUAACACAUGCAAGUCGAGGGACGAGCAUAAAGUAGCAAUACUUGGUGCGACGGCGCACGGUGAGUAACGCGUAUGCAACUACCUAUCAGAGGGGAAUAACCCGGCGAAAGUCGGACUAAUACCGCAUAAACAGGGGCACCGCAUGGUGAUAUUUGUUAAGAAAUUCGCUGAUAGAUGGGCAUGCGUUCCAUUAGGUAGUUGGUGAGGUAACGGCUCACCAAGCCGACGAUGGAUAGGGGAACUGAGAGGUUGGUCCCCCACACUGGUACUGAGACACGGACCAGACUCCUACGGGAGGCAGCAGUGAGGAAUAUUGGUCAAUGGGCGGGAGCCUGAACCAGCCAAGUCGCCGUGAAGGAAGAAGGAUCUAUGGUUCGUAAACUUCUUUUGCAGGGGAAUAAAGUGCAGGACGUGUCCUGUUUUGUAUGUACCCUGAGAAUAAGGAUCGGCUAACUCCGUGCCAGCCGCCGC